UACAAAGUGUGUCAAUAUGUAUCACAAAUAUGUGAGUACAUACAGAAAAUUAAGCCACCCCUUUUAAGCAUAACUAAAUGUUAGUCCGCGGUCUGGACUAACAUAAAAGACAUACAUUCGUAUAUAUCUUGAUGAUACAUGGUAGCACCAUUUUUAGUACACGGCAAGCAAGACACUAUUAGGGACUAAUACAAUCACUAUUCAACUGGCAUUGCUAUUUUAAAAAAGACCAGCUUUACUAUAUUGAUGGUACAUGACAGAAAAGCUCUAGCCUUUCCCUAGAACUGCUUCUUGCUCACCAAGCUUCAUGUGCUGGGAGAGAUCAAACCAAACAAACAUGAUUCGGUUGGACACAAGACAGGUUUAGGCGUAUGCUGAGAAGUUCUUGCAAUCUUAAGGAAGGGAAGACUUUGAGAAAAUCUUCUUUUGUCCAUCUGUAGUCCUGAUGUUUCCCAUUGUCAGAGCAUCAUCCAUCUACAAAUACAAGAAAAACAAUUAUAGUUUACAUCACAAGGCAAGAAAUAGAAAUAAUUAUGUUCUCUUACGGACUGAAAGGUUGUAAAGCUUCGAAUUAUGGUUCAGUCAUGCACAUACAUUUCUGUAGUGUUUGCUGAGUAGUAGCUAGCACAUAAUAUAAGAGCGUUUUUGACACUAUAAGACUAUCAUGGCUUCUAUAUAUUUCAACUCAAUUUAUCACAACAGUUUCCCUACUGUUGCAACAGAAAAUAGUAGCUGAACUUCCUUUUUCACCUUUUGCAACAGCUAAUUUUGUUCUCGUAUUAUGCAUGAAGUGAGGCUGAGAUUUAUCUAUUUGGACAAGGCGCCACGUCUUGGACGGGUCACCUGGAGAAAAUAGGAAUAUAGGCUACAGAUUCACACAUGGUUAAAGCUUGCAUGGGCAUGCAUAUACCUAUGAUCAUUAUAUUACAAUUUCAAGGAUUAGUCAAAAGCAUAAAUGAGAACGGCAAACAAGUGGCAUCGAGCUAAAGGGAGUUUUAUGACUGCCCUGCAGAAGCAUGAUAUUACACUGGGGCUUAUAUAGAGAACCCUGCAACACAAAUUCUAAGUUUAAUAUCAUCGACCUUAUGUCACAAACACGAUACCAUAUUGAUCUGUGAAAUACUACAUGCCAUUUACUUAUGAGGUCUCAUUUUCUGUCACAUGUAGUAAUAUAUUUGGAAGCAAACUCAAAUUCAACUACUACUAGACAGAUGCAAUGCACAUUCAACUAGUAUUGCAGGUUGUGAGCAGUAUAGGUAACUCUUGAGAGAAUGAUUGUAUCUUUUUUGGACUACUGAAAUCAUCAAUGAGAAGCAUGGGGAAUUUAUCUCUGCAAACGAGGUAGCAUCACUGUAAUCUUGAUUUCGAACGUUGUUGAUCGAUUCCACGGCUACAAUUUUUUUUGGAGAACAACAUCACACAAGGGAUUAACAGAAUGUUAGGUACAUCAAUGUACUUUCUUAGACCGAUGUUCUCAUCUUAUAGUGCUGGUGCACAUGCUGUGGUCAUUGCAACCAUGGGGUCUCCUAAAGGCGAUGUCACGCUUCUCCCCUCCAUUACUGGAUUCUGAGAUGAGAAUUGCAUAGUUAGAAAUGAUAUCAUCUUUUAAAGUCAGACGUUAGGCACAUGGACAAGAUAAAGAACAUAACCUACAGCAACAGUUUGUGAAUCAGAAUGUAUACCGUGACACUUCCUAUUGUUGACCCUGAGUAUUUACGAUGCACAAAUUGUUUGCCCACGAUGCCACCAUUUUGGGAAUAUAAUCUAUAUACUAUGACAUUUCCUAUUGUUCCCUGUUAAAAUACUUUUUGUGCACUAUGUUUUGCUUUCUCAAAUAUUAGUGCUUGGUAUAGCACAGCAGCUACAUAUAUCCUUGUUUAAUCUGUAUUAAAACAGUAUAAUGUUGAUUAUGAUUUAUGAAGAAAUGCAUGGCACACAUAUCUUACUUGCCGGUCCUGGCGUGCUAAUGUUGUCAUUUUUACUUGGCACUGCUCUCAAAGUGUGUACUCAUAAUUAAAAUGGAUGUAUACCAUCAUCUUUAAUACUUUGAGAGCUAGUUUUACAUAUAACUGGAACAUGUUAUUACUGGAAAGAUCCAAAGUAACAUGAAUCCAAAUUUGGAUAUGCCGAUAAAUGGACCAAUUUCAUUUUUUUCUGUCUAGUACAAUCAGUUUACUUCCUUUCAAGCUUGUCAAGCUACUGACUCUGUAUAUCGAACUGUGGGUACUGAAUUUUUUAGUGAAUUAUCGUAAACUUCAAGACCCUAAGAUUAUCCAACCGUCCUCAACCUUCUAACUUAGUUCUAUAGAGUACUUAACAGUGAAACAAAAUUUCCAAAUUACAGUACGAAACCACCAAGAACAGGAGCAAUACACCAUCAAAUCGAAGUUACUAAAUGCAUCAUGCACACACAAGCAGAUUUGACAUGAACAAGUGCAGGAAAAUAGAACUGUACAGAUAAGUUAAAUUGGGAUGCAACACAAAUAGCAAACAAAGUUAACAUCUAUUUGCCGCUGACGAGGGGGAGGAGGACAAGAGGUGAUCCUGGUGCGUGAGAGAGAGAGAGAGAGAGAGAGAGAGAGAGAGAGAGAGAGAGAGGAGGCGACGAACCGACAGCUAACGAAGAUUCAGAUGAGAGGUUGCGAGCCUGUACGAGCACACUGCGGGGUGGAGCAUAGUAGCCGAGGAGAUCUGAUUUGGUCUGCCUCAAACCGCGCCGCCGACGACAUGACAGUCAGGAGCCAUCGGAGAUUUUCUGACUUUGCCUAGCUUGAGGAUGGAUCUGGG
rnacentral:lncRNA from 1 species